rnacentral:rRNA from 1 species
GUGUCAGCAGCCGCGGUAAGACGAACCGUGCGAACGUUGUUCGGAAUCACUGGGCUUAAAGGGCGCGUAGGCGGUCGGGCAAGUCCGGGGUGAAAUCCUGCAGCUUAACUGUAGAAGUGCCUUGGAUACUGCUCGGCUCGAGGGAGGUAGGGGUCUGUGGAACUUCUGGUGGAGCGGUGAAAUGCGUUGAUAUCAGAAGGAACGCCGGUGGCGAAAGCGACAGACUGGACCUCUUCUAACGCUGAGGCGCGAAAGCUAGGGGAGCAAACGGGAUUAGAUACCCCUGUAGUCC